UCCGGUUUGUCACCGGCGGUCCCCUUAGAGUUCCCAACUAAAUGCUGGCAACUAAGGGCAAGGGUUGCGCUCGUUGCGGGACUUAACCCAACAUCUCACGACACGAGCUGACGACAACCAUGCACCACCUGUCACCGUUGUCCCCGAAGGGAAAACCAUGUCUCCAUGAUGGUCACCGGGAUGUCAAGACCUGGUAAGGUUCUUCGCGUUGCUUCGAAUUAAACCACAUGCUCCACCGCUUGUGCGGGCCCCCGUCAAUUCCUUUGAGUUUCAGUCUUGCGACCGUACUCCCCAGGCGGAGUGCUUAAUGCGUUAGCUGCAGCACUAAGGGGCGGAAACCCCCUAACACUUAGCACUCAUCGUUUACGGCGUGGACUAC
rnacentral:misc_RNA from 1 species